AUUUUAAUAGCUUAUAUAGAGCAUAAUAUUGAAGAUAUUAAGGAGAUACUUAUCUUAAAAUA
rnacentral:tRNA from 1 species